rnacentral:rRNA from 1 species
GACAGAGGGUGCAAACGUUGUUCGGAUUCACUGGGUUUAAAGGGUGCGUAGGUGGGGUGGUAAGUCAGUGGUGAAAUCUCCGAGCUUAACUUGGAAACUGCCAUUGAUACUAUCAUUCUUGAAUAUUGUGGAGGUCAGCGGAAUAUGUCAUGUAGCGGUGAAAUGCUUAGAUAUGACAUAGAACACCAAUUGCGAAGGCAGCUGGCUACACAUAUAUUGACACUGAGGCACGAAAGCGUGGGGAUCAAACAGG